UCAUAUUAUUGGUAUACAAGAGAAUGGCAUUCUAGUGAUGGGUCAUAGGUGAUAGUAUUGAUCCAUAAGAGGUCACUCCUCUAGUGAUGGGUGACAGGUGACAAGGUUUCACACAGCCACCAGUAUGAAAAGGAAUGGCUUAAGAAAUGAGGUAUGAGUCUACUGCUGGAUGGAUGCCAAUCAGGUGUCAGGUAUCAUGCAUCUUGCCCAAACAUCCAAGUGCCCACACUACUACUGAAGACAGUACUGUUCCUCUGCGAUGCAGGAGAAGCAGAGGCCAGAUGCACUGCUGUGCUAAUAUCACAGGGCAGCUUCUAUCCAACCUAGGGGUUUGACUCCUACCCAUGGCACUCCAUUAGCACAUGUUACUUCCUUAGAGCACAUGCUGUCACAGGGAAGGUGUGGAUUUUUUGGUUUUUAAUGAGGAAAAUUCUACAAGGAGAGCUGGUCAUGCUUUUAUCUUAUAACAUUUCUGCAUUCCUUCCUGGUGCACUUCCAUUUCAUUUUUGAAAGCCGAGGGCUUUAUUUUGAGAAAUUCAAGUAAGUGCACACCGCUCUGUCUGAGUACUUCUACUUCAGUGGUGCUCCCACCACCAAGCUCAGAGGUUUCUCGACUCAGGUAUCAAAUCAGAGACACGGAAAGUUGUAGGAAAUGGGGGCAUUGAUAUUUCUAGGAAACGAAGAAUGAUGUACAGCAUGCCGUUCCUCCUGAAGGGCAACCAAGUACACUCAGCAGCAGCCACAGGAAGUGGACAGAACUUAAGUUUAACUCAGUGUUCUCUGGGCUAAGGUCACAUUUGUGGGACAUUCUUCUUUGAAGGAUGUUGGAGGGAUAACAAGAGGGCCUAACAUGCCUUCCCUGUUAUAAGCUGCAAUCUGUUCGCUUCAGCCUGCACACUGGGAAUAACGAACCUGGGAAUUAAAAGUGCUAACCCUGUUAAAGAAGCAAUAUUAAGCUUGGCAUAAAUAUAGCUGAAAUAAUCCAGACAGUUUUAUGACCUUACACCCCAAAUAAAGGUGAAAUGUUGAAUUCUUUCCCUAGAAAUAGAGGUAAACAUGGCUAACAGAUGGAAGAGCUGAAUGGAAAUUUCAAUAAAGAGGACCACAAAGAAGCAUUUGUAAGCACAGAGGUGCAUGCAUUAAAAAAAGAAGCUGAAAAAUGGAACUUUGUUUUAUUUUGAUAGAGUGCCAAAACAGCGCUGCAUUCCUUAAAGAGUGGGAUAAAGGAUCGAGUUAGACUGGCCUUCUCAACACCUCCUGAAAAGCCCCCUUGGGUCUCAUUUUGCUGGGAUGACUAUUUAUAUGACAGGUUUUCUAUUUAGAACCCAACAUGUUCUUUGCUGGGAAAACGUCAGAUGCAAGUGUCUAAGCCCUAGAAGUUUUCUCUGAGGCCUGGAGACCUAAGCCUUUUAACCAAUCCUGUCGACACUGAAUGCUGAUUAAGGACAAUCAGCCUGCUUAUGGAGUUGCAAUUGUCCUCAUGGCUUCCAGAUGACGUCCUUCAGACGAGAGUUCUCUCUUGGGGAGUUAAAAAAGCCUUGGAUUCAGCUGAGCCUCUUUUUCUAGCUCUUCUUCUAAACUGACCACAGAUAAAGAGGAGUCAGACCUGGAACAUCAACAGACACAUCAGCUGGGUAUCAGAGUUGCUGGAAAAAUUACCCUAUCUCAGAGUUCUCACGGCUUCUUAAAGUUCAUCCUGUGCGGAGUAACUCCAAUUUUCACUUUCGUAUAUCCCUAGCCUUGAGGAGAGGGAUUGGAGGAAGACAUCCCACUGAAGACUGCGUGCUCCAAAGGCUCUCACCCACUGCCUGUUGUCCACUUGUAAGUCUCUGUUAAUUUUCAUCUAUUGUAAGCAGCAGCUUCUCUGAUGUGAACUGGGCAAGGCAUUGAUCUAUGGGUACAGCAAUAUGUCAU